CCCCUGUGAUUGGGGGUGCUCCAUGUC
rnacentral:piRNA from 1 species